rnacentral:rRNA from 1 species
GAUCAUAACUCAGGACGAACGCUGGCGGCGUGCCUAACACAUGCAAGUCGAACGGAACUGUUUUAAAAGAUUUCUUCGGAAUGAAUUUGAUUUAGUUUAGUAGCGGACGGGUGAGUAACGUGUGAGUAACCUGCCUUCAAGAGGGGGAUGACAUUCUGAAAAGAAUGCUAAUACCUCAUGAUAUAUCGGAACCACAUGGUUCUGAUAUCAAAGAUUUUAUCGCUUGAAGAUGGACUCGCGUCCGA